UACGUAGGUGGCGAGCGUUGUCCGGAUUUACUGGGCGUAAAGAGCGCGCAGGCGGUCGUACAAGUCGCGUGUGAAAGCCCCUGGCUCAACUGGGGAGGGUCACGCGAUACUGUUCGACUUGAAGGCAGGAGAGGGAAGUGGAAUUCCCGGUGUAGUGGUGAAAUGCGUAGAUAUCGGGAGGAACACCAGUGGCGAAGGCGACUUCCUGGCCUGUUCUUGACGCUGAGGCGCGAAAGCUAGGGUAGCAAACGGG
rnacentral:rRNA from 1 species